ensembl:lncRNA
GGGGGCGGGGCUAAGAGAAAAGGAGGUAAAGGCAGUUUCGAGGGGAGGGGGCCAGGCGAAGGAGUGGACCUGGUGGAGCCAUGACUAGAUCGAAAGAGAGGAGAGUGGACUUGGUUAAUUAGAGGGGCUGAGCAGGGACCUACUCCAAGUUCUAGGCAGGUUCCGAUGUACCGUUAGGCCCAAGUCUGCACUACCACUUUCGGUUUCUGGGUUCCUGCCGCUAAGCUGCCUUUGGGCCUGCCCUGGCAGCAGAGCCCCUUCUUCCUACAGAACGAUCCUCAAACAGGAGCCCCCAGGCCUGGACACGACCGCCCUUCAGGGUUUGUGAGGAUGCAGCCUUGACCCGUCCAUCCCUUCUGUGAACUCAUCCCCUCCAGAAACCCACAGACCCAGAGACAGGCCUCCUGAAAUCACCCCAGGAUACUGCCAUUAUUUUGGGGUUUCUACUUACCAAAAAUGUUCCUGGGCUUGAAUGGAUCUCUUUGUGCAAGGAGCAGAAGGAAUGAACAUAAGUUGGAGUGGAUGGGACAUUGUUAAGGGGUCCUCAGGCUCCUCCCUCCAUAAAGGAGAUCUGGUAUCAUUUCAAGGGCAGUUCUCAGUGAUUGGACCUGCAGGACCCAUCCACGCCUCACUUGGGGGAGAGGCAGAGUUACCAUGUUACCUGUCCCCACCUCAGAGUGCUCAGCAUAUGGAGGUGGUCUGGUUCCAAUCCACUUGGGUGGUACAUCUCUAUCGAGAUUGAGAAGAUCAGUUUGGAGACCAGGACCCUCAUUACCAAGGGAGGACAGAGUUGGUGAGAGAUGCUAUCACAAGUGGGAAUGUCACCCUGAAGAUACUGGAUGUGAGAUUCUUGGAUGCAGGAAAGUACAUGUGUCUCAUUGGAGAUGAUUUUCACCAAGAGCAAGCUGAUGUGGAGCUGAAGGUCUUAGGUGAAGAAAGCAUGUUUAUGUGCAUAUAUGGGUGGGUAGGUAGAGACUUCCUUACCAGUUCUGUGAUUCUAGGAAUCACAGGAUGUCCUGGUUGAAAGGGACCCCCCACACCAUUUACUCCAAUACCUCUCUGAACAAGAAAUGUCUCUUUACAUGCCCAAUAGGUACCUAUUUUCAUUUGGCCUGAAUUCUUGGUCUCUCACCUGGUGCCUUGUAAAUGGAAGAUAAUUAAUGAAUGCUUGUUGAAUUUAAUAGAGCUUCCAGCCUUUACUUAAAGACUUUUAAUGAGAAGUCAUACUACUUUCCUGGAGGAGGCAGCCCUUUCCACUUCUGGAUAAAUUUCAUCAUGAAGAAGUUUUUGUUGACAUCAAACUUAAAUCAUCCUGUCUACAAUUUUCACCCAUUGCUAUUAGUUCUGUCCCAGAGGGACAAUCAGAAUGAAUGUAAUCCAUUUUCCAAAGCCUAGUUCUUCAAACCUGCAAACAGUUAUCAUGCCCUGGCUAAGUCUUCUCUCUUCCAGGCUAUGACAAUUACCACACUGAAAGAAUGAGAAUGUUAAACUUUACCAGUUUUGUUUUUGGCAUAAUCUCAAAGCUGUAUGACUUCUGGCAAAUUUUUGCAAGGGCUCUAGCCCCCAGACACCCUGAUAGUGUCUUUUGAAGUUCACAAGAUUGUACCCACCUCCACCAGAAACAGAAGCAACAGCACAACCAGAUCUUCUCAGUUUCAAGCUAGCUCUGAGUGAAAAAAAGCCCCAAUUCCCUGUGCUACCUAGAGGCCCACAGCAGCUAUUUCUUCUUCUGAAAUACUAGU